ACAAAGGCUCUUCUAAGGGCCACCCACCUCCUCCCUAUAAGGUCUGU
rfam:Xenopus tropicalis strain Nigerian Chr09_contig_6, whole genome shotgun sequence.